UGAAUACGAGACGCUAAGGCGUUGAAGUAGUGUAUGUCAUACUUCCAAGAUAAGCUUGCACUGUCAUAGAUAAAAAACGCCUGUACCAUAACCGACACAGGUGGGUAGGUAGAGUAUACUAAGGGGCGCGAGAUAACUCUCUCUAAGGAACUCGGCAAAAUAACUCCGUAACUUCGGGAGAAGGAGUGCCUUAUUUAUAAGGCUGCAAUAACAAGAUCCAAGCAACUGUUUAUCAAAAACACAGGUCUCCGCUAAGUCGUAAGACGAUGUAUGGGGGCUGACGCCUGCCCAGUGCCAGAAGGUUAAAGAAGUUGGUUAGCAAUAGCGAAGCUGAUAACUGAAGCCCUGGUGAACGGCGGCCGUAACAAUAACGGUCCUAAGGUAGCGAAAUUCCUUGUCGGGUAAGUUCCGACCCGCACGAAAGGCGUAAUGAUUUGGAUACUGUCUCGGAGAGGGGCUCGGUGAAAUAGACUUGUCUGUGAAGAUGCGGACUACCUGCACCAGGACAGAAAGACCCUAUGAAGCUUUACUGUAACUUGAAAUUGAAAUUGGACUUUAUUCGCGCAGUAUAGGUGGGAGGCGUUGAUUGUAAUCUUGCGGGAUUAUUGGAGCCAUCAGUGAGAUACCACCCUUGUAAUGUUAGAUUUCUAACUUAGGAUCAUUAUCUGGUCAAAGAACAGUUUCAGGCGGGCAGUUUGACUGGGGCGGUCGCCUCCUAAACGGUAACGGAGGCGUACAAAGGUUUCCUCUGAACGGUUAGAAAUCGUAUCUAGAGUGUAAAGGCAUAAGGAAGCUUGACUGUGAGACCUACAAGUCGAGCAGGGACGAAAGUCGGUCUUAGUGAUCUGACGGUACUGAGUGGAAAGGCCGUCACUCAACGGAUAAAAGUUACUCUAAGGAUAACAGGCUGAUCUCCCCCAAGAGUUCACAUCGACGGGGAGGUUUGGCACCUCGAUGUCGGCUCAUCGCAUCCUGGGGCGGUAGUACGUCCCAAGGGUUGGGCUGUUCGCCCAUGAAAGCGGUACGCGAGCUGGGUUCAGAACGUCGUGAGACAGUUCGGUCCAUAUCCGGUGUAGGCGUUAGAAUAUUGAGAGGAGCCUUCUUUAGUACGAGAGGACCGAGAAGGACAUACCUCUGGUGUACCAGUUAUCGUGCCAACGGUAAACGCUGGGUAGCUAUGUAUGGAGUGGAUAACCGCUGAAAGCAUCUAAGUGGGAAGCCCACCUCAAGAUAAG
rnacentral:rRNA from 1 species